rnacentral:rRNA from 1 species
AUUUGAGAAGUGCUCAGCUUUCUCUUAUGCAAGGUCUAUGUUAUCCAUCUUUUACACACUGUUUUAGAAUGUUUUUUUUUGGAAAUACAAAUGUACAACUUUCAGCAACGGAUCUCUUGGUUCUCGCAUCGAUGAAGAACGCAGCGAAAUGCGAUAAGUAAUGUGAAUUGCAGAAUUCAGUGAAUCAUCGAAUCUUUGAACGCAACUUGCGCUCCUUGGUACUCUGAGGAGCAUGCCUGUUUGAGUGUCAUUAAACUUCUUCUCAACCCAUCCAGUUUCUCUGUGUGUGGGCUUUGGACAAUUGGGGGCUUGCUGGUUACUAUUUGUCCAGCUCUCCUGAAAGCAUUAGCGGCAUCUGGGCUGCUUGCAGGUGUGAUAACUUGUCUACACCUUUGCAGUGG